GAUGAACGCUGGCGGCGUGCUUAACACAUGCAAGUCGAACGAAGCACUUUUACAGAUUUCUUCGGAAUGAAGUUUUAGUGACUGAGUGGCGGACGGGUGAGUAACGCGUGGGUAACCUGCCUCACACAGGGGGAUAACAGUUGGAAACGGCUGCUAAUACCGCAUAAGCGCACAGUACCGCAUGGUACAGUGUGAAAAACUCCGGUGGUGUGAGAUGGACCCGCGUCUGAUUAGCUAGUUGGCAGGGUAACGGCCUACCAAGGCGACGAUCAGUAGCCGACCUGAGAGGGUGACCGGCCACAUUGGGACUGAGACACGGCCCAAACUCCUACGGGAGGCAGCAGUGGGGAAUAUUGCACAAUGGGGGAAACCCUGAUGCAGCGACGCCGCGUGAGCGAAGAAGUAUUUCGGUAUGUAAAGCUCUAUCAGCAGGGAAGAAGAAAUGACGGUACCUGACUAAGAAGCACCGGCUAAAUACGUGCCAGCAGCCGCGGUAAUACGUAUGGUGCAAGCGUUAUCCGGAUUUACUGGGUGUAAAGGGAGCGCAGGCGGAAGGCUAAGUCUGAUGUGAAAGCCCGGGGCUCAACCCCGGUACUGCAUUGGAAACUGGUCAUCUAGAGUGUCGGAGGGGUAAGUGGAAUUCCUAGUGUAGCGGUGAAAUGCGUAGAUAUUAGGAGGAACACCAGUGGCGAAGGCGGCUUACUGGACGAUAACUGACGCUGAGGCUCGAAAGCGUGGGGAGCAAACAGGAUUAGAUACCCUGGUAGUCCACGCCGUAAACGAUG
rnacentral:rRNA from 1 species